GAGUGCCCCUCUCUCUCUCUCUCUCUCUCUCUCUCUCUCUCUGUGUGUGUGUGUGUGUGUGAGAGAGAGAGAGAGAGAGAGAGAGAGAGAAACCAAGCUG